rnacentral:misc_RNA from 1 species
UGGGAGUUGGUUUUGCCCGAGUCUUACCCUAACCGCUUGCGGAGGGGGAUGCCUAAGGCAGGGCUGAUGACUGGGGUGAAGUCGUAACAAGGUAGCCGUACCGGAAGGUGUGGCUGGAUCACCUCCUUUCAGGGAGACCUUACCCACUCAAAUCCGAAAGCAAAGUGCAACUAGGAAUGAGUCUGGUCAACCUAGGUCGUUCGAGAAUUAUGUGUGGCUCUCAAGCUUGUCUGGGUUUGCUUCUAAGAAGAAGGAAAACGAGGGCUAUUAGCUCAGGUGGUUAGAGCGCACCCCUGAUAAGGGUGAGGUCCCUGGUUCGAGUCCAGGAUGGCCCACCUUCCCAAUCAUGCUCAGAAUUUUCUGAUUUCUGAAUUCGGUUUUUCGAUUUCCAGAUCCAUUUGGCUAUCCGAUUUCCGAGCCCAAUUGAAGCAAUUAGCAUCAGUCCAGCAUCUUCCGCCACAAAGAAGACUGCUGAACUGACGUUCAGCCAGAACCUUGAAAACUGCAUAGCAACAAAAGCCAAAGCAAGGUAGUCGAGAGUCAAACAGCGAUCAAGCUACAAAGGGCUCACGGUGGAUACCUAGGCAACCAGAGAAC